rnacentral:rRNA from 1 species
GGGAUAGAAUUCCAGGAGUACCGGUGAAAUGCGUAGAUAUCUGGAGGAAUACCAAAGGCGAAGGCAGUCCCCUGGUCCGAUACUGACACUGAGGUACGAAAGCGUGGGGAGCAAACAGGAUUAGAUACCCUGGUAGUCCACGCCCUAAACGAUGUCAUUACCAUUGGAAGGACCCCUUUUCCUUUCAGUGACGUACUAACGCGUUAAAUCGACCGCCUGGGAAGUACGACCGCAGGUUAAAACUCAAGGAUUGACGGACCUGAACAAGCGGUGAUGAUGUGGAUUAAUUCGAUGCUGCGCGAAGAACCUUACCUACCUUUGACAUGGCAAGUUCUACCGAGAGGCGGAAGUACUCGUAAGAGGAUUGGCGCACAGGUGCUGCAUGGUUGUCGUCAGUUCGUGUCGUGAGAUGUUGGGUUCAGUCCCGCAACGAACGCAACCCUUAUCUUUAAUUGCUCCUAUUUUAACAGGCACUUUAAAGAAACUGCCAAUGAUAAGUUGGAGGAAGGUGGGGAUCACGUCAAGUCCGCAUGGCCUUUAUAGGUAGGGCUUCACACGUCAUACAAUGGUUAGAACAAAGAGCUGCAAAUUCGUAAGAAGGAGCCAAUCUCACAAACCUAACCUCAGUUCGAAUUGCGGUCUGCAACUCGAGCGCAUGAAGCCGGAAUCGCUAGUAAUCGUGGAUCAGAAUGCCACGGUGAAUACGUUCUUAGGUCUU